AGGGGGCACGUGACCCCCCCCCCCCACGCCAAAUUUUUUGGCGUGGGGUGGGGGGGUCACGUGCCCUUUUUUGUGAUGAAA